GAAUCGGAGAAGAGAGGAGAACAGAGCAGAUUGAGAGAUAAGAAAGGGUCGGAGGAGGGAGCCGAUGAGCGUCCCUAAUUCCACAAUCGAAAUGGGAUGAAGUAUACCAAAACUAUGUAUCUCGAAGACUUGAACUUGGUGAUUUAUUUUUGGGAGUUAUCGAUAAGCUUCUAGCCGAGCGGAAGAAUCACUUUUGAUAUCGGGGAUCAGUUCAGAUGACUAUGUGGAGACUUUAGUUAUUUGAUAGGACAUCUACCAAGAAGAAUAAAGAAGGGGUCAUGGUGGGCAGAAGGCCAACAUCUGCGAUCACUGCCCAAUGAGGUUGUCGGCGACCUGGACUAGGCAAUGGUGGCAGCCAUUUUAUCUCCACCGCCCUUGAAAUCGAGUUCCUUCUCCUCUCUUCGAAGAGAGAGAGAGAGAGAGAGAGAGAGGAGGUGGGAGAAGGCGAAAACGGUGUUUAUUUAGCGGCGGCCUCUCGAUGCCAGCAACCACCGAACAGUUGAGGUUGUCGGCAUUCUCGCCUGGAUAGCGCUCGUAGGUGCUGACCGACCACCAGCUCGCUGAAUGUUUCUUCGACUGUUUAGUUGCUCUUUUCCUUUUCUUUUUUCAACUUCUGAAAUUAUUUUUUAUUUUCAGAAAUUUAUAAUAAUUUAAUUUAUACUUAAAUAAUUAGCAUAAGGAUAUCUUAGUCAUUUUACUUCGAUAUUCCAAAUUCAAGCCUUGACUUAAUGGAAUAGUC